AUGCUUUGUUUUUAACAAUUCAUACGUGAGCUAGUGCUCAAGGAAAUGAGUUUAGAAGAGUAAAAAAAACCACUAUCUUUCAUAGCAAUUUAAGUUAAGCACCACGAACUGCAAUUGGAUGGGUCUUUACUCUGUUUACUUGUUUCACUUCAAUUGAUAAAAUAAAUACACAUACAACCCAUGACUUGGGUUUAUCCCUUCAACUAUGUUUAAAAAAGUAGGACAACAAAAUAAUGCCAUUAAACAAAAAAUUCUUUUAUUUGCUGACUACAUAUACAAAUUAUGAAAUUAUGCAUUUUUAUCAACAUUAUACCUGUAUGUGAGGAGCAUAUUUCCUGUAAGUAUAUUAAGCAUAAUGUGAUUAAACCUGAAAGUAUCUGGACCUAUUUUGUGUCAUGUGAUACUACUGUGAUAGGCAGGAGAGUUUUCUUCUCUCAUUUUCCUUUUUCAGGGGUUGAUGUCAACAGACUGGUAUUGUGGUAACAACGAUUCUGACAUCAAACCGCGAAAUUCAGACCAUUUUAGUUUGAUGGGUCACUCGUUUCUGAACAAAAAUUAAUGAGUAUUAAUGUUUGUGUGACAUGAUAUUAACAUUAUCGACUAUGAAGGAGAUUUACCCAUACCAAUUUAUUACACAUAUAAUUAGAAAUUGAUGCCAAUUAGAAUGAUUUGAAUUAAAACUAAAGCCAUGUUAAUUACAUUCAAAUUGUACUGCAAUUUUAUGUGUUGGUUUCCUGAUUUGUUUGUGCAUAUAAUGUCAACUAAGUUGUUUUUGAUUUAAAAUAUUACUUGCGUUGGUUUUCACUGAACUCAUUUAUAAUAUUAUUGCAAGUAUUGGCUUAAGUCCAAUUCUUUGUUACUUUGUUUUUAAUCACAUGCAUUCAGACACAAUUAUUUUGUUAAUUCUAUUUUACGACGACGAUUGCAUAUACCAUCUUAUGUUAUGUUAUCUUGUAUUUGCUCACUUUGCGAAUAUUUUAGGGUUUUUUGCUUUCAUUUAUUUCUAAGAAAGCCUUUUUGAAAUUGACACUGGGAGUUUUCAGCCUUACAUUUAGUGAGGAGAGUAAGCCGACAAAACACAAUAUGGAGGAGAAGUACAGAGCAGGGACGUUACAACUGGGAUAGACUAGCUCGGCGUCGGCUAGGGCAGCAGUCAUCAACAGGUGGAAGCAGUGUUUUAUGGCCUUGUAUGCCAGUUAGCACGAAGAUGAUAGGAAAGUUACACACUUUUCUACACCUUGGUCCGAAGAAAUUUGGUGGGCAGGGAGUACUGCAGUUUUCGGCAUAGAAUCCAAUGCAUUCUUUUUACAUACGCAAAAAAGGAACUUUCAAAGGUUGACGUAAACACAUUGAUUUUUCUGCAACAACGAAUCUGAAAAACCACGAAAUUCGGACCAUAGAACAACUAUGUGUUGCUUCAGUUUGAUGAGUCACUCGUUGUUGAACGAAAAUUAGUGAGGAUGUUGUGUGACAUGAUGUUAACAUUAUCGACUAUGAAGAAUGUUGAGUGGACCAUACCCAUUUAUUACUCAUAAAAUUAGAAAUUGAUGCCAAUUAGAGUGAUUUAAAUUAAAACUAAAGCCAAAUUAAUUACAUACACAUUUUACUGCAAUUUUAUGUGUUGGUUUCCUGAUUUGCUUGUGCAUAUAAUGUCAACUUAAGUUGUUUUAAAUCUAAAAUAUUACUUUCGUCGGUUUUAAUUGAACUCAUUUAUAAUACUAAGGCAAUUAUUGACUUAAGUCAAAUUCUUUGUUACUUUGUUUAAAAUCACAUACAUUCAGACACGAUUAUUUUGUUAAUUCUAUUUUACGACGAUUGCAUAUACCGAUGUUAUUGUUUGUGAUUGUUUAAAAAUUGGCAAAUGAUUGAGGAAUUUUGGCUUUUAUUUAAAUCUAAGAAUGCCUUUUUGAAAUUGACUCUGAGAGUUUUUAGCCUUGCAUGUAAUGAAGAGAGUAGGCGACCAAAACAACCUGGAGGAGAAGUACAGAACAGAAACGGUUACAACUGAGAUAGACUAGCUCGGCAUCGGCUAGAGCAGCAGUCAUAGACAGGUGGAAGCAGUGUUUUAAGGCCUUGUGUGCAAGUUAGCACGAAGAUGAUAGGAAAGGUGAAAAUGUAAUUAGUUACAUAUUAGUGUACAAAUUGUUUUUAACUUCUUAGUGUCUCUUAUCUAGGCAAGGGUACAUACUUGCCACCCUUUACCAGAAUUAGUUUCCCUUUAAUUAUAUUAAACAAAAUAUACUUACUUUUGACGAAAUUAAAUACUUUCUCUCAUUUAACAAAAGGUUUAGGUAAAUGCAGUGAUAUCAAAGAAUCAUGUUUCUUCAGCAAAACCAAUCCUGAUAAAAUCAGGUUAUUUUGUUUCCGAUUAAACAGUUUACUAGUGUUUAUGUUCAAUUUUCUUUGUUAUCAUUUUUUGAUCCAAGUAUAUAAACGUAUAUGACAGUAAGUUCACUUAAUAUUAUUGACAUUAUCAUUCAACAAUCAAUGAUUGAAAACGACCUAAUGCAUGCGUUGACUAAAGCACAAUGAGCGACCCUGUAUGGAAC